AUUGAACGCUGGCGGCAUGCCUUACACAUGCAAGUCGAACGGUAACAGGUCUUCGGAUGCUGACGAGUGGCGAACGGGUGAGUAAUACAUCGGAACGUGCCUAGUAGUGGGGGAUAACUACUCGAAAGAGUGGCUAAUACCGCAUGAGAUCUACGGAUGAAAGCAGGGGAUCGCAAGACCUUGUGCUACUAGAGCGGGCGAUGGCAGAUUAGGUAGUUGGUGGGAUAAAAGCUUACCAAGCCGACGAGCUGUAGCUGGUCUGGGAGGACGAUCGGCCACACUGGGAGUGAGACACGACCCGGACUCCGACGGGAGGAAGCAGUGGGGAGUUUUGGACAAGGGGCGCAAGCCUGAUCCAGCAAUGCCGCGUGCAGGAUGAGGGCCUUCGGGUUGUAAACUGCUUUUGUACGGAACGAAAAGCCCUGGGUUAAUACCCUGGGGUCAUGACGGUACCGUAAGAAUAAGCACCGGCUAACUACGUGCCAGCCGCCGCGGUAA
rnacentral:rRNA from 1 species